GAUGAACGCUGGCGGCGUGCCUAAUACAUGCAAGUCGAGCGAACGGACGAGAAGCUUGCUUCUCUGAUGUUAGCGGCGGACGGGUGAGUAACACGUGGAUAACCUACCUAUAAGACUGGGAUAACUUCGGGAAACCGGAGCUAAUACCGGAUAAUAUUUUGAACCGCAUGGUUCAAAAGUGAAAGACGGUCUUGCUGUCACUUAUAGAUGGAUCCGCGCUGCAUUAGCUAGUUGGUAAGGUAACGGCUUACCAAGGCAACGAUGCAUAGCCGACCUGAGAGGGUGAUCGGCCACACUGGAACUGAGACACGGUCCAGACUCCUACGGGAGGCAGCAGUAGGGAAUCUUCCGCAAUGGGCGAAAGCCUGACGGAGCAACGCCGCGUGAGUGAUGAAGGUCUGCGGAUCGUAAAACUCUGUUAUUAGGGAAGAACAUAUGUGUAAGUAACUGUGCACAUCUUGACGGUACCUAAUCAGAAAGCCACGGCGAACUACGU
rnacentral:rRNA from 1 species